UACGGAGGGUGCGAGCGUUAAUCGGAAUGACUGGGCGUAAAGGGCGCGUAGGCGGACUGUUGUGUUUGAUGUGAAAUUCUUAGGCUUAACCUUGGAAUGACGUUGAAGACUAGCAGUACUUGAGUGAGGUAGAGAGAAGUGGAAUUCCCGGUGUAGCGGUGAAAUGCGUAGAGAUCGGGAGGAAUACCAGUGGCGAAGGCGGCUUCUUGGACCUUAACUGACGCUGAGGCGCGAGAGCGUGGGGAGCAAACAGG
rnacentral:rRNA from 1 species